ACGUCGUUAAACAAUUCUAGGACAAUUAAAUUGUUGAUUCAAUCGAACAUAUGGUAUGAACAUGGUUUGUUUCACGGGGUGUUUCGGUGUCUUGCCUUGAAUCAAGGCGUGUAAAAACGUUAUGUGUGAUCCUUAUACACCAGCUGGUGUUCCAAUUCCAACCAACAAGAGGCACAACGCUGCUAAAAUUUUCAGACACCAAUCGUUGCC